AUGGACACAUUCCUCUUCCUUACCAUUCUUCCAUUGCUCACCGCUCUGCCAUGCUCAUAUGCUCAGUCGAUGCUAAGCACUCGCUCAUCCUUAUCUGUAGAAGAGCAUAGGCAGACCUUCCUUACCUCACCAAAUGAUGAUUUUUCUUGCGGCUUCUAUGAAGUUGGAGAGAAUGCAUUCUCCUUCUCUAUCUGGUUCACCAACACCAUGGAAAAGACUGUUGUAUGGUCUGCAAACCCCAGGUCCUUGGUGAAUGGCCAUGGUUCCAUGGUGUCUCUGAACCAUAAUGGAAACUUGGUCCUCGCUGAUGUCAAUGGCACCGUGACUUGGGAGAGCAAGACAAGCUCUGGCGAGGGCACGGUGGUUUCCCUUCUUGACACCGGCAACCUCAUAAUCAAAGACUACACUGGUGCAAAUUUCAAGCAAAAUAUACCUAAGUCAAUGGAAGAAGGUUAUAGGACUGUGAUGAGCCAGUUCAGGAUGUUCAUCUACAGGGAAUUACGGGAAGCAACUGGAAAGUUCAAGGAAGAGAUUGGAAGAGGGGGUUCGGGAAUUGUUUAUAGAGGGGUACUUGAAGAUAAGAGAGUGGUGGCAGUGAAGAAACUAACUAGCGUUUCACAUAGUGAGGAGGAAUUCUGGGCAGAAAUGAAUAUAAUUGGAAGGAUCAACCAUAUGAAUUUAGUAAGGAUGUGGGGGUUUUGCUCUGAGGGUCAACACAAACUGCUGGUGUACGAGUAUGUGGAGAAUGAAUCACUUGACAAGUUUAUAUUUGGUAAUGUAAGUGCUGAGAGAUUACUUGCAUGGAGCCAACGAUUCAAAAUAGCACUAGGAACAGCAAGAGGCUUGGCAUACCUCCAUCAUGAGUGCCUUGAGUGGGUAAUCCAUUGUGAUAUAAAGCCAGAGAACAUACUCCUGACCCGAGACUUCGAAGCAAAGAUAGCAGACUUCGGACUAGCCAAACUCUCAAAGAGAGACAGUUCCAGUUUCAAUCUCACCCACAUGAGAGGAACAAUGGGCUACAUGGCGCCAGAGUGGGCACUGAAUUUGCCGAUCGACGCAAAGGUUGAUGUAUACAGUUAUGGCGUUGUACUUCUCGAGAUUGUGACUGGAAAUAGGAUCUCAAGUGGGAUUACAGUGGAUGGGAAAGAGGUGGAGUUUAGACAGUUUGUGCAUGCAGUUAAAGAAUUGCUGGAGAGUGGAGAUGUCAAGGUUAUAGCCGAUGCUAGACUGAAUGGCCAUUUCAAUCCUGAGCAAGUGGCGACGCGGCGAGGUGCUAUGGAGGAGAUCAACAAGGCUCUGGCGGACCUGACGGCGGCCAUCAGCGGCAUGUCCGCCCAGAUCAGUGAGAUCCACCCGGUGGUUCUCGAGCUUCAAGGAUGGCGCCCGGCGAUCGAGCGAUCCGUCGACGAGCUACGGGCGGAGGUGACCGAUCUUCGCCAACACAUCCAGGCACCGCGCCCAGCGGCCGCGCAGGCGCCGGAUCCGGCGCUGCUGAAGGAAACGGCGCCCUCGGUCCGCCUCUCCGACCUGCCGCCUCUGCUUCCAGACAUGGCCGGCACGUCUCUCCAUCGACCAGGCGAGCAGCCACACGCUCGCGGUGACGGCAGUCACGGGCCCGAUGGCCGCGGUGUCGCACAUGAUCUUCGGGGGAAAUCGGUGGGUGAGAUUCACUCCCCACGAUUGCCUCCGGCCACUGGUACGUACGAUCUCCUUCCGUAUGGCGAGCAGUCGUUCUCAGGGGACCGGGGAUAUCACCGUUUGCCACCACCGCCGCGGUUCGAUUUCCCUGUUUUCGACGGGACGAACCCGAAGGCUUGGCGUCUUAAAUGUGAAGCUUACUUCCGCGUUUGCACCCUUAGCCCUGACACUUGGGUCAGUUGCGCCGCCAUGUAUUUCACAGAUGGGGCUCUCACUUGGCUCCAGUCCUCCCAAGCUCACUUGCAUUAUCAGGAUUGGGGGGGUUUUGCUGCCGUGAUCUGCGCCAGUUUGGGCGUGAGGAAUUCCAGAACCUGUUAA
rnacentral:rRNA from 1 species